GGGGGGACGGAGAAGGCUAUGUUGGCCGGGCGACGGUUGUCCCGGUUUAAGCGUGUAGGCUGGUUUUCCAGGCAAAUCCGGAAAAUCAAGGCUGAGGCGUGAUGACGAGGCACUACGGUGCUGAAGCAACAAAUGCCCUGCUUCCAGGAAAAGCCUCUAAGCAUCAGGUAACAUUAAAUCGUACCCCAAACCGACACAGGUGGUCAGGUAGAGAAUACCAAGGCGCUUGAGAGAACUCGGGUGAAGGAACUAGGCAAAAUGGUGCCGUAACUUCGGGAGAAGGCACGCUGAUAUGUAGGUGAAGCGACUUGCUCGUGGAGCUGAAAUCAGUCGAAGAUACCAGCUGGCUGCAACUGUUUAUUAAAAACACAGCACUGUGCAAACACGAAAGUGGACGUAUACGGUGUGACGCCUGCCCGGUGCCGGAAGGUUAAUUGAUGGGGU
rnacentral:rRNA from 1 species